GCAGGUUGGAUUGGUCAGCACCUGGAAGGAUACGAGUGUGUAGUAGUAUCCCCACAGGCUUUUGUGGGCGGGAUGAGGACCUUCCCCCUGGGGGGCUCGGGGCUCUUUGCGACAUAUGAUUUCGAAGCGUUGUGCCCGUCCUUGGACAUGGCGCCCGCGUGCCUGAGCCUAUUUGGGUUUUUCCUGGGGGGUGUGCCGGGGGCUUCGGAGGGUGGACAGUUCUUUAGAGAUCUAACUUGUUUGUUAUGCUAUGGAUUGUGUUUUUGCUUCGAGGGGGAGUACUGUGGGCGGACUGGGGGGUUGCCUAUCGGAG
rnacentral:lncRNA from 1 species